rnacentral:rRNA from 1 species
GACGAACGCUGGCGGCGUGCUUAACACAUGCAAGUCACGGGGGGCUCGCAAGAGCUAACCGGCGAACGGGUGCGUAACACGUGAGCGACCUGCCGAUCUGCGGGGGAUAGCCGGCCCAACGGCCGGGUAAUACCGCAUACGUUCUCUUGGGGGCAUCCCUGAGAGAGGGAACCUCCGGGGCGGAUCGAGGGGCUCGCGGCCUAUCAGCUAGUUGGGGGGUAACGGCCUCCCAAGGCGACGACGGGUAGCUGGUCUGAGAGGAUGGCCAGCCACAUUGGGACUGAGAGACGGCCCAGACC